ACAUGCCUACAACAUAGCAUUAAUGCAUCAGAUCCCAUUAGAAAUCUACAGUUAAGUGCGCUCGAUCCAAAGUAGCAUUGGGAUGGGUGACCUCCUGGGAAGUCCUAGUAUUUUACAUCCC
rnacentral:rRNA from 1 species